CAACAAAGCAAACACACAACAGCAGACACUCACGGUGCAGGAAGGUUAGCCCAAGAGUUAGCUAAAGAAUUCUUCCUCCGCACACAGUUGUUCCCUGAACAUGGUGCCUUGAUGAAAACUGGCAGAGGCAGCUGAGAGACACUGGCAUCCAGGAUAUAGGUCAUUGAUUCUUUCAUGUUAAAUCCAGGGAAGAUCCCCUGGAGAAGUGAAUGACAACCCAUUCCAGUAUUCUUGCCUGGAGAGGCCCACAGACAGAGGAGCCUGGUGAGCUAUAGUCCAUGGGGUCGCAAAGAGUCGGACACUACUGGGCGACUAACACAUUCACUUUCACUAAUCUAGAAUUUAUCCUAAGAUUCUGUACAGGCACCAACAUAAACACAAAUGCCUCCUCAACCUUCUUAGUUCCAGUCUCCACCAAGAAUUCCUUAGCUAAAACUAUGUCACUGUAGAGGCUCAUGUGAGGCAAAGAGCUGUGGGUUAUAGAUGGAGUGAGAGGGGAAUCGGAGAAGAGAAAAAGGGUGUUUGCCACCUCCCCAUGCACCAAACAGUGCUUGGGUCUUGUCCCCAGGAAUUCUGACUUUGUCUGGGGUGGCACCUGGAUUCGACACCUUUUAGCUGCUCCCCAGGUGAUCAUUGCAUGGAGUUUGCCAACUCCUGUCUUAGAUCUCCUCGCCAUAGGGCAACCACAGGGUUCCACAUGGGUUUAGGUGGUGGUGUUUAAUGUGAAACUAAUGGACACUAAUUACAAUGCUAGGACCAAAACAAUAAUUACAAUAUUUUUAGGAAAGCAAUAUGAAAUUUUUGCAAAUGCAAAGUUUCUAGUUUCUGCAUAUCAUUUCCAAACGUGUGUAUGUCUUUUUGUGUAUUUAAUAUCCAACCAGUUCCUUGCAUAUGUAUAAAUUAAAGUCUAUAACUUGGAUUUUUUUGUUUUGUGUUUUAGUCACUAAGUCAUUUCCAGUUCUUUUGCAACCCCAUGGACUGUAGCCCACCAGGCUCUUCUGUCCAUAGGAUCUCCAAGGCAAGAAUACUGGAGUGAGUUGCCAUUUCUUUCUCCAGGGGAUCUUCCCCACCCAGGGAUCAAACCCACAUCUCCUAUAUUGGCAGGCAGAUUCUUUACCACGAAGCCACCAGGGAAGCCCAUGACCUGUGUACUUUUAGUCACGUUCUCUUGACUCUAGAAUACAGAUCAUACUUUCCAAGUGCUGGAGGAGGGGAUGAGGUAGGAAGCAGAUGGCAUAGAAGUUGAGAGAGAAACAGACAUCCUUCCCUAGUGUCCCAGACAACUGCACAUCCCCAGAGAGGCUUGAGGGACAAGCCCAGUGCUGAGUGCACAGUAGGGCCCCACACAUAGGUGUUGUCUAGUUGACUGAUUUUCUAGGUGUGUGGUUGCCAAACCUUUGGAAGUUUGUCUCUUUCAUCUGACCAGAGGCUGACAUAGACACACCUUGUUAAAACACUCCUCUCACAAGGGAGCAACAAUGCAACUGCCUUUACAUAUUAUUUGCUUAAUCUGAUGUAAAUGAGUUUAUUCCAAGGAGCUGCUCAAUUAGUCAUAUUGAUGGAGUCCUCCUUCCGUGUGGAGGUUCUAUUGAAAUCAAGAACAUGUUUGUGUGUAGAUGACAAAUAUCCAGAGAAGAUGCAAUUUAAAAUAAUUCUAUAGCCAUGAGUGCUUUAGAAACAUCUCAGAGAACUGAUGAGCCAGAGACAAGUCCAUCCCCUUCAGACGAAGAGACGCAGGUUGGAACUGGAGCACGUUUGUCUGUCCCAAGGGAAGAACUGCUUAGGGUGCAAAGGCUGCACCCAGAUCACCUGCAGGUCUUGGGAAAUGCAGGUCCUGAGUCAGCAGGACUGGGGUGCCACCCAGGACUCUGCAUUUCUAACAAGUUCUCAAGUAAUGUUGACGUGGCUCGUCUGGCUAUUUUAAAUAGCAAAGUAUUUUUUUUUUUUUUAAAUCACUUUCUAUGCCUGAGUUUUUCACUCUUCCAGCAACAGAAGCAAAGGCAUGUGAGACUAAGAUCCAAGACAGUGGGCCAGAACCACUUUGCUCAUCAGUGUAUGUGUAUCUGGCACUUAGCACAGUACCUGCAUCAUUUAGGCAUCCAAUAAACACACACAUCAGAUAAAUAAAUAAAUGCCUAACUGACAAGAUGCAGCUGACAUUUCAGUCCUAAUGGAUUUUGGUCCACGAUUGGCCUGAAAUAAGCCUUUGUUGGGCUAAUGUGAGCUGAGAGAAUUCAGAGAGGCUGAACGGUGGCAUUACUCCAGCCAUGAAGCUGGUGUGGCCUGUAUCCCGGAGCUGAGCAUCUGACAGUUCUUCAAUAUUUUCAUGUAAGUUAGUUUCAGUGCUUCAUCUGGCUUAUAAAAGGUCUUUCCUCAAUCACUCCUGCUACUCCCCCAUCCAUUUUCCACACUAGUCAGGGAGCUCUUUUAAAAAGGUGAACCAGAUUACAUCACUUUCUUCUAGAACCUCCAACAGCUUCCCACAGCUCUCCACCAAAGUCCAACCUUCUUUCUCAGGGGUUCAGAUUCUGUAUGCUUACGCCCUUGAUGACCCCACUUAUCAUGACCCCACUCUCCACUUCAUUCACACGCCCAUAGCCAUGCUGACUUCUUUCUCCCCUCAAAUACACCCAACUCAGCCCCAGUUCUGAGCCUCUGCAAUCACUGGUCCUGGUCACAGCUCAUCAGAAUGUGCCUUCCUUAUCCCAUCACACUUUGUCAAGACUGUCCUUACUCUCUGACAUGACUAUGCUUCACUGUCUAUUGGAUGCCUCCUUCAGUAGACUGUAGGGUCCGUAAAAGGGAUGGGCUCCGUCUGUCGGCUCUACUGCUCUAUCUUCUUGAAACAGUGCCCGACACACAGUAGGUGCCCAGCUUAGAAUGACCUCUAACUCCUGAGGACAGAACUAUGCCUGACACUACUCUGAAUCCCUUCUGGCCCCUAGCACAAGACUCAGCAAACCAUAGGUGCUCAGCUGACACUGGUGGUUGAUUCCCUGUCCAGGUGGCCGACAGACGUAGCCUGGACCAAGCCCGUCCCGCAAGGCCUGGUGUGGUUCAGGAUCUUCCAGGCCAUCUUUGCAGCAACUGUCCCUAAAGCCAUGGACCCUAAAGCCUCAGAGCUAGAAUGACUGAUCUGAACCAGACAAGCCCUGGAGACCCACCUGCAUAUACAUCAGCUUCCUGGGGGCCCAGCCCCUGGAAUUGAGGCUCUUCCUACUCAGCUCCCACCUUACAGGAAAUUGAUGUGCAUUAUACUCACUGCCUCCCCCUCAUCCCUUCUUGAAAGGCUGAGCUGCCUGAUCAGAAAUGACGUCUGUGCAAAAGCCAAAGAAGACUGAUCCACAGGCACUUCCUCUAGUUGGUUGCUGACGUCAGUUGGAGGCUAAUUACUUCACAAUGAAAGGUGUUUUAAAAGGAGGAGAGAAGACGACAACUCUGAAUGCUGCCACAAGAGGUGUUCCUAGCCGAAACACGGGCCAGAGGAGCACUCAGGGCCAAGGGCAGGAAGUGUGCCCUGGACCAUCUGCUACAGCACAAGGUGAGAGAGACCUUACAGUGGCAUGUCACCAUGGUUAACAAGACUUGUCUCCGGCCAAUGCUAUUCAGUGUCCCCUGUCCCCUGAGAUUCCCUAGCAGCUGAGGGCAUGUAGCAUCCUAUAAACAACUGACUCACCUUUGUAAAACCCCAUGUGUUCAGAGCUCUGUUCUAGGUGCUGGAUGAAGGGAGGAUCCAGAGGCAUACAAUUCAGUCAGGCAGAAAACAUGACAAGUAUUGGGUAGCGAAGCAUCAAAGAACAGUGUGUCCAGUAAGUGUAGUAACUGCUGAGGAAGGAUUGCAAGAUCUGGGGAUGUGUGGUCCUUAAAGAUGAAACUCAGCGGGAGGUAGGUCACUCCUCAUUAUUCUCCCCCCACUUCCCAGGACCCUGAUUGAGCACAGGGCCUGGGAGCCAGAGCUUUUCUCAGAGUAGCUAGCAUAAGAGGAACCGGAGGGCAGACUCCACCUGCCCUUCUGGAUGUGCCGAAAGUCAAGCCAGGGAGUUUAUUUCAUCACAUGAUCCAAGGGGAGAAGGAAGGGCCAAAGGGGAGAGACUGACCUAAGAGGUCAGAGGUCAGGGAGACACUAGAAUUGGUGGGAAGUGAGGCCAGAGAAGAAACAAUGAGAACAGGUCCAGGACAGGGCCAGGCAAGAGGCCGGAGUGCCUGGGGCCUGUUUUAUUGAUUGUCGGCUGCAUUGUGCAUACAUGAGUCAGACUGGGUGAAAGGCCUGGAGCUCAGCAGAGGGAAAAGGGAGUCCACUUAGUCUGCUGGCUCUCCUAGGCUAGGCUGGUAACACCAGUAAGCAGAAAGCUAAGCCCACUGAAUGCCAGCACAAGGAACUAUCCUCCUUGGUACAGCUGGGAAAAGACGGUGCAGCCUGCCCGGGGGCAGAGCCUGGUCAGCCACUGAUGUGAGUCAGCGACGUGAGUCAGUGGCUGCCGGAAAAGGGCAUGUGCGUCCUGGCCUUGUUAACAGGUGUAAACUUCCACAGUGAAGGAGAGCUGGUGGUCUUCUAUUCUGUGCUGCUCGGACCAAACCAGGUGUGUAUAGUCAGGCCCGGGCACUGACAUAAGUGGGGGUCACAUUCCAAGGACUCAUACCUACUAUACGAGGCAGGGUUUGGAAUACUUGUCUGCCAUACAUGGUUGAGGAAAUUAGAGAAGAUCCAGGGAAGGGUGGUAGUGGUAAAGAAGAGGAGGACAUAGGAGUACCCACUGACAUUUCUAUCCCAUCUCAUCAUCCCAUCCCAAACAUGACCUACUAGGCUGAUUCCACAACCUGUUAAUGGAUAGCGACUUGACUGUUAGUAAUGUACUGCCUUGAGAGUGUGGAGGUUUAAGUAGAGACCAUAAGCCUCUGCUUGCCUUGGGAAAAUGUGGUACACGUGUGCUAAGUCACUUCAGGUGUGUCCAACUGGGCGACCCUAUGGACUGUAGCCCUCCAGGCUCCUCUGUCCAUGGGAUUCUCCUGGCAAGAAUACUGGAGUGGGUUGCCAUGCCCUCCUCCAGGGGAUCUGCCCAACCCAGGGAUUGAACCCACAUCUCUCAUGUCUCCUGCAUUGGCAGGUGGGUUCUUAACCACUAGUGCCACCUGGGAAGCCUGGCAGGAUGUGGUAGAAUAAUUCAAUUAUAUGAGAGAUUGCAUCAACAGGACUCCAAAGCCCUCCCCACUGAGAUUCUAAGGUUAUAAAAUUCUCUGUUGCUUUAUGAUGGAAAGGAGCAGGUAACUUUUAACACACAAAGUGACGAGGACCUGAACUGGGUUGGUGGAAGUGGGAAGAGGAAGGACUAGGAAGGAUUCUAUCAGGUGAGGUGCCUGACGUUUCACGCCUGCAGAACUGUGACCACCACGACAAUAUGGACAGACAGAGGAAGUCUUCAGGAUUAGGGAGUCUGGGAAGACAUCGAUUUCAGUCCUAUUUGACAUUCUUACUCAAAAAUUAUUUUCUAAAUGAAUGUUGAGUUUGAGAUGAUGGGGUCAGGGCAGAUUUGGGAGAUUUGGAAGUCCAAAGCAUUCAAAAGAGAAUAGCCCUGCAUACAUAAUGCUAAAAUAGAAAUAUCACUAAACAAUAAAGUAAGUAUAAGAGAAUCCAAAAAAAAUCUCAGUUUUUCUCAAGAGGAAAGACUGAAUGAUGAAGUAUCACUUGAAAUUCUUUGUUUGUCUUACUAUGUCUUUCUAUUUUGUUGGUACUCUGAUAAUAUAUUUUAUCUGUCUUCUGGGUAAACUUUACAUCCAAGGGAGAAAGACCUUUGAAGGGUUAGAAAUAUAGCUCAAGUUUGGAGAAAAAAAUAAGAAAUGAAGAUAUAGGUUGGGGGAUCCUGGGCAAGGAAAUUUAACAGGAAACCCUGGAAAUGGACAAAUCUCAGAGUGAGGAUAGUGUAGAGAAAGAGAAAAGAGAAGAGGGCUGAGUUAUGAAAGUUGGAGAAUGUCCACAUUUUUGAGGCUGGGAGAAGGGAGGAGGGGUCAUUAAAGGAGAUGGGAGGGGGCAGAAACUAGGAAAAUCAAAGCAGUCAAGGUGGUUUUCCAUCCACGAAUGCAGGGAUGAAUAAAUUCAUGGAGGAGGUG